UCCUACGGGGGGCUGCAGUGAGGAAUUUUGCGCAAUGGGGGCAACCCUGACGCAGCAACGCCGCGUGGGUGAUGAAGGCCUUCGGGUCGUAAAGCCCUGUCAGGUGGGAAGAAAGCCCUGGGGAUGAAAAAGCCUUGGGAGUGACGGUACCACCAGAGGAAGCACCGGCUAACUCCGUGCCAGCAGCCGCGGUAAUACGGAGGGUGCGAGCGUUAUUCGGAAUUACUGGGCGUAAAGCGCGUGUAGGCGGCUUGACAAGUCUGAUGUGAAAGCCCUGGGCUCAACCUGGGAAGUGCAUUGGAAACUGUUAGGCUUGAGUACCGGAGAGGAUGGGGGAAUUCCCGGUGUAGAGGUGAAAUUCGUAGAGAUCGGGAGGAAUACCAGUGGCGAAGGCGCCCAUCUGGACGGCUACUGACGCUGAGACGCGAAAGCGUGGGGAGCAAACAGGAUUAGAUACCCUAGUAGUC
rnacentral:rRNA from 1 species